rnacentral:pre_miRNA from 1 species
AUAUUACUCCCUCCGUCCCAAAAUUCUUGUCUUAGAUUUGUCUAGAUACAGAUGUAUCAAGUCACAUUUUAGUAUUAGAUACAUCCAUAUCUAGACAAAUCUAAGACAAGAAAUUUGGGACAGAGGGAGUAGUUG